rnacentral:rRNA from 1 species
GGAUCCAGACUUUGAUUCUGGCUCAGGAUGAACGCUAGCUACAGGCUUAACACAUGCAAGUCGAGGGGAAACGAUAGAGAAAGCUUGCUUUUUCUAGGCGUCGACCGGCGCACGGGUGAGUAACGCGUAUCCAACCUGCCCAUCACUUGGGGAUAACCUUGCGAAAGUAAGACUAAUACCCAAUGAGGUCUCUAGAAGACAUCUGAAAGAGAUUAAAGAUUUAUCGGUGAUGGAUGGGGAUGCGUCUGAUUAGCUUGUUGGCGGGGUAACGGCCCACCAAGGCGACGAUCAGUAGGGGUUCUGAGAGGAAGGUCCCCCACAUUGGAACUGAGACACGGUCCAAACUCCUACGGGAGGCAGCAGUGAGGAAUAUUGGUCAAUGGACGAGAGUCUGAACCAGCCAAGUAGCGUGCAGGAAGACGGCCCUAUGGGUUGUAAACUGCUUUUAUAAGGGAAUAAAGUGAGUCUCGUGAGACUUUUUGCAUGUACCUUAUGAAUAAGGACCGGCUAAUUCCGUGCCAGCAGCCGCGGUAAUACGGAAGGUCCGGGCGUUAUCCGGAUUUAUUGGGUUUAAAGGGAGCGUAGGCCGGAGAUUAAGCGUGUUGUGAAAUGUAGACGCUCAACGUCUGCACUGCAGCGCGAACUGGUUUCCUUGAGUACGCACAAAGUGGGCGGAAUUCGUGGUGUAGCGGUGAAAUGCUUAGAUAUCACGAAGAACUCCGAUUGCGAAGGCAGCUCACUGGAGCGCAACUGACGCUGAAGCUCGAAAGUGCGGGUAUCGAACAGGAUUAGAUACCCUGGUAGUCCGCACGGUAAACGAUGGAUGCCCGCUGUUGGUCUGAAUAGGUCAGCGGCCAAGCGAAAGCAUUAAGCA